rnacentral:rRNA from 1 species
UACAGAGGUGGCAAGCGUUGUUCGGAAUUACUGGGCGUAAAGGGCGCGUAGGCGGCCUUCUAAGUCUUGUGUGAAAUCCCUCGGCUCAACUGAGGAACUGCACGGGAUACUGGAUGGCUUGAGUUCGGGAGAGGGAAGCGGAAUUCCGGGUGUAGCGGUGAAAUGCGUAGAUAUCCGGAGGAACACCGGUGGCGAAGGCGGCUUCCUGGACCGAUCACUGACGCUGAGGCGCGAAAGCGUGGGGAGCAAACAGG